rnacentral:rRNA from 1 species
GACGAACGCUGGCGGCGUGCCUAAUACAUGCAAGUAGAACGCUGAAGACUUUAGCUUGCUAAAGUUGGAAGAGUUGCGAACGGGUGAGUAACGCGUAGGUAACCUGCCUACUAGCGGGGGAUAACUAUUGGAAACGAUAGCUAAUACCGCAUAACAGCAUUUAACCCAUGUUAGAUGCUUGAAAGGAGCAAUUGCUUCACUAGUAGAUGGACCUGCGUUGUAUUAGCUAGUUGGUGAGGUAACGGCUCACCAAGGCGACGAUACAUAGCCGACCUGAGAGGGGGGUCGGCCACACUGGGACUGAGACACGGCCCAGACUCCUACGUGAGGCAGAAGUAGGGAAUCUUCGGCAAUGGGGGCAACCCUGACCGAGCAACGCCGCGUGAGUGAAGAAGGUUUUCGGAUCGUAAAGCUCUGUUGUAGGAGAAGAACGUGUGUGAGAGUGGAAAGUUCACACAGUGACGGUAACUUACCAGAAAGGGACGGCUAACUACGUGCCAGCCGCCGCUGUAA